AUACUCUGGUUUCUCUUCAGAUCGUAUAACUCUUUCGCCUUUUACUAAAGAUUUCCGUGGAGAGAAACAAUUCUGAGCCUUUACCCAAUUUUUUGAGGCCUUGCUCUUGCAAGGCU
ensembl:snRNA U5 U5 spliceosomal RNA